UAAAGAAACAGAAAUCUACCUUGUGUAAGGAGGAGCAUUAACUUGCUCUUUGGGCUUUCAAUUCCAGCAAUUGUCAAAAGCAUUGGAAAUGAGCAAAUCCUAAGAAAGAACUUCAUAAGAUCAUAAGGAUAAUGGCUCUGGAACACCUAGUCCAGCCAAGGCAACAAAACAACUGUCUACGUCCAAGCAGAGUUAGAGGCUUUCCACCCUCUGCCAAGCCAAACCACUGACCAUGACCCCUGGAGAAAAGAUGAAAAACAAACAGCUCUCCAUCAUGGCAGAUCACCACCCAUGGACGCCUUCUCUUCCAGUGCUCUUCCUGACCGUCCUCCAUUGAGGGCUUUUCUAAGAUACUGUGAAGUCUUUUCACUUCCCGUGGUUCCCAGGCCAAGGUUGACAUAUGUCAUAUCUUAUGUGAGGAUACUGUUCACCUUAACUGGAGGCAAGCACUUCAGAACUUGGGGAUUUUGGAGUGACAGAUGAAGCUCUACAGGCAUUAAUCCUGGCACAAAGACCACCCAGAAGCCGGGGCCCACCCAAGAGGUUCUGCCAUCUUGUUCCUGUGUUCUCAGCAAAAAGAAAACAAACAAACCAGGCUAACCAAAGAGGCCAGGAGUUUUACCAUCUCUGAUUGUCUUUGUUCCAGAACCAAAGGUUGGUAGCAUCAUGUGGUGGAAAAGAAAUAGUGAGGGUGGAAGAUAACUCAGCUUAGGAGCCUGAGAGACUGGGAGGGUGGUGUUGCCCUCUACAAAAGAGGGAAAUUUGGAGGUGGGGAGGGCUUGGGGGAAAGAUAAUGAGUUCUCUUUGGGACAUGUUCAUUUAAAAAUGGCUGCUGGAAUACGAUGAUCUGAGAGGCUCAUGACAAAGAAUGCCCUCCUUCUCCAGAGAAAGAACUGCUGGAGUCUGAAUGCAGAUGAAAGCAUACGAUUUUUCACUUGUUUCAUUGAAUUUAUGUAUUGAGUUUUGGGUUUUAUAAGAUUACUUACAAAAAUGAACAAUAUGGAAAUUAAAAAUAAGUAAACAUUUUUUAUUUUAAAAAAUUGGCUACUGGACAUCCAGUUUGUGAUGUCUGAAAGGCAGCUGGAGGUAUAAGAGUGGAGGUCAGCAAAGACAUUAGGGUAAUAGAUUUGAGAAUAGUCUGCCUAGAGAUAAUAGAUAAUAAUAAAGCAAUUAAAGAUUUAUAAAACA
rnacentral:lncRNA from 1 species